GACAGAGGGUGCGAACGUUGCUCGGAAUUACUGGGCGUAAAGCGCGUGUAGGCGGUGCCGCACGUCCGAUGUGAAAGCCCGGGGCUCAACCCCGGAAGGGCAUUGGAAACGACGGCGCUGGAGUCCUGAAGAGGAGGGCGGAAUUCCCGGUGUAGAGGUGAAAUUCGUAGAUAUCAGGAGGAACACCAGUGGCGAAGGCGGCCCUCUGGACAGGCACUGACGCUGAGACGCGAAAGCGUGGGUAGCAAACAGG
rnacentral:rRNA from 1 species